rnacentral:rRNA from 1 species
AUGAACGCUGGCGGCGUGCCUAAUACAUGCCCGUCGAGCGAACGGACGAGAAGCUUGCUUCUCUGAUGUUAGCGGCGGACGGGUGAGUAACACGUGGAUAACCUACCUAUAAGACUGGGAUAACUUCGGGAAACCGGAGCUAAUACCGGAUAAUAUUUUGAACCGCAUGGUUCAAAAGUGAAAGACGGUCUUGCUGUCACUUAUAGAUGGAUCCGCGCUGCAUUAGCUAGUUGGUAAGGUAACGGCUUACCAAGGCAACGAUGCAUAGCCGACCUGAGAGGGUGAUCGGCCACACUGGAACUGAGACACGGUCCAGACUCCUACGGGAGGCAGCAGUAGUGAAUCUUCCGCAAUGGGCGAAAGCCUGACGGAGCAACGCCGCGUGAGUGAUGAAGGUCUUCGGAUCGUAAAACUCUGUUAUUAGGGAAGAACAUAUGUGUAAGUAACUGUGCACAUCUUGACGGUACCUAAUCAGAAAGCCACGGCUAACUACGUG